AUGGGGGCACAGCCUGAGCAGUUUGUGGAGAAGGGGACCAAGGCCUCUCAGCCUAUGCUGGGCUCCAGGCUCCAUCUUGAAGAUCUACGAGUGUUCUGGUGGAGAUGCUUCUGCAAAGCCCGGCCCCAUCCUGAAUCUGAGGACAUCAGACUGUGCUGUGAUGCUGGAGGAGAUUUGGCAGCCCUAUCAGCCCACCCUUGAUUUUGAAAUGUCUGUGCCAGAAGUUGCUACUGGCUGUUUUUCAGCUGUCUGAUUUUACUGUAGACAUCCAU
rnacentral:lncRNA from 1 species